GACGAACGCUGGCGGCGUGCUUAACACAUGCAAGUCGAACGGAAAGGCCCUGCUUUUGUGGGGUGCUCGAGUGGCGAACGGGUGAGUAACACGUGAGUAACCUGCCCUUGACUUUGGGAUAACUUCAGGAAACUGGGGCUAAUACCGGAUAGGAGCUCCUGCUGCAUGGUGGGGGUUGGAGAGUUUCGGCGGUUGGGGAUGGACUCGCGGCUUAUCAGCUUGUUGGUGGGGUAGUGGCUUACCAAGGCUUUGACGGGUAGCCGGCCUGAGAGGGUGACCGGCCACAUUGGGACUGAGAUACGGCCCAGACUCCUACGGGAGGCAGCAGUGGGGAAUAUUGCACAAUGGGCGGAAGCCUGAUGCAGCAACGCCGCGUGCGGGAUGACGGCCUUCGGGUUGUAAACCGCUUUCGCCUGUGACGAAGCGUGAGUGACGGUAAUGGGUAAAGAAGCACCGGCUAACUACGUGCCAGCAGCCGCGGUGAUACGUAGGGUGCGAGCGUUGUCCGGAUUUAUUGGGCGUAAAGGGCUCGUAGGUGGUUGAUCGCGUCGGAAGUGUAAUCUUGGGGCUUAACCCUGAGCGUGCUUUCGAUACGGGUUGACUUGAGGAAGGUAGGGGAGAAUGGAAUUCCUGGUGGAGCGGUGGAAUGCGCAGAUAUCAGGAGGAACACCAGUGGCGAAGGCGGUUCUCUGGGCCUUUCCUGACGCUGAGGAGCGAAAGCGUGGGGAGCGAACAGGCUUAGAUACCCUGGUAGUCCACGCUGUAAACGGUGGGUACUAGGUGUGGGGUCCAUUCCACGGGUUCCGUGCCGUAGCUAACGCUUUAAGUACCCCGCCUGGGGAGUACGGCCGCAAGGCUAAAACUCAAAGGAAUUGACGGGGCCCCGCACAAGCGGCGGAGCAUGCGGAUUAAUUCGAUGCAACGCGUAGAACCUUACCUGGGUUUGACAUGGAUCGGGAGCGCUCAGAGAUGGGUGUGCCUCUUUUGGGGUCGGUUCACAGGUGGUGCAUGGCUGUCGUCAGCUCGUGUCGUGAGAUGUUGGGUUAAGUCCCGCAACGAGCGCAACCCUUGUUCACUGUUGCCAGCACGUUAUGGUGGGGACUCAGUGGAGACCGCCGGGGUCAACUCGGAGGAAGGUGGGGAUGACGUCAAGUCAUCAUGCCCCUUAUGUCCAGGGCUUCACGCAUGCUACAAUGGCUGGUACAGAGAGUGGCGAGCCUGUGAGGGUGAGCGAAUCUCGGAAAGCCGGUCUCAGUUCGGAUUGGGGUCUGCAACUCGACCUCAUGAAGUCGGAGUCGCUAGUAAUCGCAGAUCAGCAACGCUGCGGUGAAUACGUUCCCGGGGCU
rnacentral:rRNA from 1 species